GCCCGCUUGGCUCAGUGGUAGAGCGUGUCACUAGUAAUAGGUCAAUGACAAGGUCAUCAGUUCGAUUCUGAUAGUGGACA